GAGUGAGACUCCAUCUCAAACAAACAAACAAACAGACAAACAAACAAAACCAAGGAUUUUGAACUCAAUAAAUAUUAAAACAUCAAAUUAACAUAUUAAUGUUCUAAGGGAGAAACAUCAUAUGAUGAUCUUAAUAGAUGCAGGAAAUCAUUUGUUAAAUGUUACCAUCCAUUCGUGACUAAAAAAAUGAAAAGCAAACAAAUUAGGAAUACAAGGAUCAAUCAUCAUUCUUAAUGGUGCAAUUUUAUAGCAUUCCCGAGACUGGGAACUUGUCAAGGAUCCCUGCUUGCCUGCUACCAGUUUAUUGGUUAUCAUACUGGAGCUAGCCCACAUAGUUAGUAAAGAAAUUAAAGAUGUUAGGAUUUAAGUGAUAAAACUCAUCCAUAGAUGAUUGAUUAUCUACAUGGAACAUCCAAAAGAACCCCAUACAUAUUCAUGUUUGUUUGUUUGUUUUUUUUAGACAGGUUCUCGCUCUGUUGCCCAGGCUGCAACAGAGGUACAAGAUGUUGCUGACAGUGGUACAAACAUGGCCUCACUGCAGUCUUGAUCUCUUGGGCUCAAGCGAUUCUUCUGCCUCAGCCUCAGAGUACCUGGGAUCACAGGGGGAAGAUGGUCCUUUGGCUGUGAUGAUGUGGCCCCGAUUGCAGAAUUGAGUUGGAGGCUGAAGAUGUGAGCUCUGAUCCUUACCAGUUCUGGCUAAUGGAUCAGAAAAUCUCCAAGAAGGCCAAGAGAGCUGUCAAAUGAAGUGCACUGUAGCUCAAGACCAGAGAGAAGGGCCUUGGAGAAGGGAUCCAGGGACUAUAGAUCAGGAGCCAAAACUUGGAUAAUGAGAGAGCCGACGCCCCUUCACUGGGGUGGAUGAGCAGCAGAGACAGGGAGACCUGGCCCUCCCAGAACAGAGUGAAGCUGAUCAGCAAUAUUCAACUCUGAACAAAAUGCCAAAAACAAGUACCUGAAGGCGAAAGAGAGUGAACGAAAGCAGUCAAGUUUUGGAGGAAGAUGAAACUUGGAAGAAGGUGCCAUUAAGAGGAGGCCUCCUAAAUUCUGUCCACAAGCCUAUUUGCAGGCCUGACAACCCUAGAAUAAGACCAUUGGUAGAGGAUGGCAGAGCUUGAUGUCUGGCUUCCUGGAUGACCUGAAGGUACACAUCCCAGCUAGAUAAUUACAUGAGACAUAAAUAAAUCCCUGUGUUGUUUUCUUGUUUAAGCCAUUGCAUUUUGGGAGCCUUUUUUCUUUCAAGGCAUCCCACCCUGUCUGCAUCUACCUAUUAAGUAUCUCUUCAAUUUGUGAUUCCUUUUUUUUUUUUUUUUUUUUUUUUGAGACAGAAUCUUACUUUGUCGCCCAGGCUGG